rnacentral:rRNA from 1 species
GACGAACCGUGCGAACGUUAUUCGGAAUCACUGGGCUUAAAGGGCGCGUAGGCGGAUUGCAAGUCUGUGGUGAAAUCCUCCAGCUUAACUGGAGAAGUGCCAUGGAUACUGCGAGUCUCGAGGAAGGUAGGGGCAUCUGGAACUGCCGGUGGAGCGGUGAAAUGCGUUGAUAUCGGCAGGAACUCCGGUGGCGAAGGCGAGAUGCUGGAUCUUUUCUGACGCUGAGGCGCGAAAGCCAGGGGAGCAAACGGG